rnacentral:rRNA from 1 species
AACGAACGCUGGCGGCAUGCCUAACACGUGCAAGUCGAACGAGACCUUCGGGUCUAGUGGCGCACGGGUGCGUAACGCGUGGGAACCUGCCCUUAGGUUCGGAAUAACUCCCCGAAAGGGGUGCUAAUACCGGAUAAUGUCUUCGGACCAAAGAUUUAUCGCCUUUGGAUGGGCCCGCGUUGGAUUAGCUAGUUGGUAGGGUAAAAGCCUACCAAGGCGACGUUCCAUAGCUGGUCUGAGAGGAUGAUCAGCCACACUGGGACUGAGACACGGCCCAGACUCCUACGGGAGGCAGCAGUGGGGAAUAUUGGACAAUGGGCGAAAGCCUGAUCCAGCAAUGCCGCGUGAGUGAUGAAGGCCUUAGGGUUGUAAAGCUCUUUUACCCGGGAUGAUAAUGACAGUACCGGGAGAAUAAGCUCCGGCUAACUCCGUG